rnacentral:rRNA from 1 species
AGUGAACGCUGGCGGUAGGCCUAACACAUGCAAGUCGAACGGAAGCACAGUAAGAGCUUGCUCUUACGGGUGGCGAGUGGCGGACGGGUGAGGAAUACAUCGGAAUCUACUUUUUCGUGGGGGAUAACGUAGGGAAAGUUACGCUAAUACCGCAUACGAUCUACGGGUGAAAGCAGGGGAUCUUCGGACCUUGCGCGAUUGAAUGAGCCGAUGUCGGAUUAGCUAGUUGGCGGGGUAAAGGCCCACCAAGGCGACGAUCCGUAGCUGGUCUGAGAGGAUGAUCGGCCACACUGGAACUGAGACACGGUCCAGACUCCUACGGGAGGCAGCAGUGGGGAAUAUUGGACAAUGGGCGAAAGCCUGACCCAGCCAUACCGCGUGAGUGAAGAAGGCCUUCGGGUUGUAAAGCCCUUUUGUUGGGAAAGAAAGGCAGCAGGUUAAUACCCCGCUGUUCUGACGGUACCCAAACAAAAAGCACCGGCUAACUUCGUG